CCUACGGGGGGCAGCAGUGGGGAAUAUUGGGCAAUGGAGGAAACUCUGACCCAGCCAUGCCGCGUGAAGGAUGAAGGUCCUACGGAUUGUAAACUUCUUUUAUUAGGGAAGAAACGUUUUGAUUCAUCAGAACUUGACGGUACCUAAGGAAUAAGCACCGGCUAACUCCGUGCCAGCAGCCGCGGUAAUACGGAGGGUGCAAGCGUUAUCCGGAUUCACUGGGUUUAAAGGGUGCGUAGGUGGAUUGAUAAGUCAGUGGUGAAAGCCCCGAGCUCAACUUGGGAAUUGCCAUUGAUACUGUUAGUCUUGAGUUCGGUUGAGGUAGGCGGAAUAAGUCAUGUAGCGGUGAAAUGCUUAGAUAUGACUUAGAACACCGAUUGCGAAGGCAGCUUACCAAGCCGACACUGACACUGAGGCACGAAAGCGUGGGGAUCAAACAGGAUUAGAUACCCCGGUAGUC
rnacentral:rRNA from 1 species